GAGGGUAUAGCUCAGUGGUGGAGUGCAUGCUUAGCAUGCACGAGGCCCUGGGUUCAAUCCCCAGUACCUCCA
rnacentral:tRNA from 1 species